rnacentral:rRNA from 1 species
ACAUUAGUUAGUUGGUGAGGUAACGGCUCACCAGGACAGCGAUGUCUAGGGGUUCUGAGAGGAGUGUCCCCCACGCUGGUACUGAGACGCGGACCAGACUCCUACGGGAGGCAGCAGUAAGGAAUAUUGGUCAAUGGGCGAAAGCCUGAACCAGCCAUGCCGCGUGCAGGAUGAAGGCCCUAUGGGUUGUAAACUGCUUUUAUAUAGGAAGAAGCUCCCGUACGUGUACGGGACUGACGGUACUAUACGAAUAAGGACCGGCUAACUCCGUGCCAGCAGCCGCGGUAGUACGGAGGGUCCAAGCGUUAUCCGGAUUUAUUGGGUUUAAAGGGUGCGCAGGCGGACCGAUAAGUCAGUGGUGAAAUCCUACAGCUCAGCUGUAGAACUGCCAUUGAUACUGUCGAUCUUGAGUACGGUUGAAGUAGGCGGAAUGUAUCAUGUAGCGGUGAGGUGCAUGGAUAUGAUACAGAGCUCCGAUAGCGAAGGCAGCUUACUAAGCCGUAACUGACGCUCAGGCACGAAAGCGUGGGGAGCAGGCAGGAUUAGAUGCCCUGGUAGUCCACGCCGUAAACGAUGAUCACUCGUUGUUGGCAAUACGCAGUCAGCGACUGAACGAGGGCGUUAAGUGAUCCACCUGGGAAGUACGAUCGCAAGGUUGAAACUCAAAGGAAUUGACGGGGGCCCGCACAAGCGGAGGAGCAUGUGGUUUAAUUCGAUGAUGCGCGAGGAACCUUACCUGGGCUUAAAUGUAUAAUGACCGGCUGGGAAACCAGUCUUCUCUUCGGAGCAUUUUACAAGGUGCUGCAUGGUUGUCGUCAGCUCGUGCCGUGAGGUGUCGGGUUAAGUCCCAUAACGAGCGCAACCCCUAUUCUUAGUUGCCAUCAGAUAGUGCUGGGGACUCUAAGGAAGCUGCCUACGCAAGUAGUGAGGAAGGUGGGGAUGACGUCAAAUCAGCACGGCCCUUAUGUCCAGGGCUACACACGUGCUACAAUGGUCGGUACAGAGGGUCGCUACCUGGUGACAGGAUGCUAGUCUCAAGAACCGAUCUCAGUUCGGAUCGAAGUCUGCAACUCGACUUCGUGAAGCUGGAUUCGCUAGUAAUCGCAUAUCAGCAAUGGUGCGGUGAAUACGUUCCCGGGCCUUGUACGCACCGCCCGUCAAGCCAUGGAAGCUGGGGGUACCUGAAGUCUGUGACCGCAAGGAGCGGCCUAGGGUAAAACUAGUAACUGGGGCUAAGUCGUAACAGGGUA